rnacentral:rRNA from 1 species
AUUGAACGCUGGCGGCAGGCCUAACACAUGCAAGUCGAACGAGUGGCGGACGGGUGAGUAAUGUCUGGGAAACUGCCUGAUGGAGGGGGAUAAAUACUUGGAACGGUAGCUAAUAACGCAUACAAUCAGAUGUGCCCAGAUGGGAUUAGCUUGUUGGGGGGGUAACGGCUCACCAGGUCGACGAUCCCUAGCUGGGCUGAGAGGAUGACCAGCCACACUGGAACUGAGACACGGUCCAGACUCCUACGGUAGUCAGCAGUGGGGAAUAUUGCACAAUGGGCGCAAGCCUGAUGCAGCCAUGCGGCGUGUAUGAAGAGGGCCUGCGGGUUGUAAAGUACUUUCAGCGGGGAGGCGUUACCCGCAGAAGAAGCACCGGCUAACUCCGUGCCAGCAGCCGCGGUAAUAC